rnacentral:tRNA from 1 species
UGGGCCCUAGUUCAACGGCAGAACAUCGGCCUUUGGCGCCGAGAAUCCUGGUUCGAAUCCAGGGGGCCCAACCA